CCUACGGGAGGCAGCAGUGGGGAAUAUUGCACAAUGGGGGAAACCCUGAUGCAGCGACGCCGCGUGAGUGAAGAAGUAUUUCGGUAUGUAAAGCUCUAUCAGCAGGGAAGAAAUAGCGACCUUUGGGUCGCCAGACGGUACCUGACUAAGAAGCCCCGGCUAACUACGUGCCAGCAGCCGCGGUAAUACGUAGGGGGCAAGCGUUAUCCGGAUUUACUGGGUGUAAAGGGAGCGUAGACGGCAGCACAAGUCUGAAGUGAAAUGCCGGGGCUUAACCCCGGAACUGCUUUGGAAACUGUGCAGCUAGAGUGCAGGAGAGGUAAGUGGAAUUCCUAGUGUAGCGGGGAAAUGCGUAGAUAUAUGGAAGAACACCAGUGGCGAAAGCGGCUCUCUGGUCUGUAACUGACGCUGAGGUUCGAAAGCGUGGGUAGCAAACAGGAUUAGAUACCCUUGUAGU
rnacentral:rRNA from 1 species